rnacentral:rRNA from 1 species
GACGAACGCUGGCGGCGUGCUUAACACAUGCAAGUCGAACGCUGAAGCUUGGUGCUUGCACUGGGUGGAUGAGUGGCGAACGGGUGAGUAAUACGUGAGUAACCUGCCCUUGACUCUGGGAUAAGCCUGGGAAACUGGGUCUAAUACUGGAUACGACAUGCCACUGCAUGGUGGUGUGUGGAAAGGGUUUUACUGGUUUUGGAUGGGCUCACGGCCUAUCAGCUUGUUGGUGGGGUAAUGGCCUACCAAGGCGACGACGGGUAGCCGGCCUGAGAGGGUGACCAGCCACACUGGGACUGAGACACGGCCCAGACUCCUACGGGAGGCAGCAGUGGGAAAUAUUGCACAAUGGGCGGAAGCCUGAUGCAGCGACGCCGCGUGCGGGAUGACGGCCUUCGGGUUGUAAACCUCUUUCAGCACGGAAGAAGCGAGAGUGACGGUACGUGCAGAAGAAGCGCCGGCUAACUACGUG